AAGGACACGAACAGAGCAAUGUGCUGGAGAGUGAAAGUAAAAACAUGAAAGAGCAAAGACAGGCAGUUCACAGGCACAGAGAGAAACAGAGAGAGCACCGUGUCCUCUCUUUGGCCCCAGGGGAGGUGUGUGAGAAAGCCUGCUGACUUCUAACCACUGUGGGAAAGUGGGGGGAUGGGGCCGAGCGGAGUCAGGUUUCACUCAGCUUUACACAGCAGUAAAGUCUGCAUUCCGGAGAGAGGCCGCUGCUGGGGAGAAACAGGAAGAUCACCUGAAACAAAAGAUGUUGCCUGACCAUCCAGCAUUUCCUCUUUUAGUUUCUGAUCUCUGAAGAUGCAAUUGUAGCAAUGCCUUGACUCACACAUGAUGGUGAGAAACAGGAACACCAUGAUAGCUCAACUUGAUAUGCCUAUCAGGACCUGACUCAUCCUUUUGAGCUUAAAGGAAAACAAACCCAGCCUAUCAAGAAAUUCUCCAUCCCAGGGACAUGCCUAAAACUAGAGUCCAAUGAAAUGCUGUAAAAGCUUGGAAUAUCAGUGAGUGAUUGUGGAGAGGUUAUAACUGAGUUAAUAUUAGAGGAUAAUCUCAGAUAAGAACUGGGUAGAUCAGAUACAACUGAUAAAGCAAGUUACCCCAAUAUUGAGUCUCAAAGGCUACAAUGCACUGAGACAGAAGGUAAGGUGUCAUUCCUCAAGCUUAUGUUGGGCUUGUUGAAAGUGGUUUGAGUGGGAGUGGUAGGUGGGAGAUGGAAACAUGGACAGGGAGACACCAAAGGAAUUGGUCUCUUCAGAGUACUGAAAAAGUGAUGAAGGUUAAGAGAAUCUGAAUCUUGUUGAAGGUAACAGAAAAUACCAAGGAGGUUGACCAUUAAACUCAGAUGGUGCUGGGGUGGAAGGUGGGAACCAGGGGAACUCAAUCCUUGCUCUAGCCUGGAGGAGGGAAGUGAGUAGAAAUGCAGGGAAUAGAUGAAAAUUGGCUGAAGGCUGUCAACUAUGGUAAAUACCGAAAGACCCAAGUGGAAAGUGUCAUCAGAACUAUGUUACUGCGAUGGAGGAACCAGAGUCCUUACAGAAAGCAGUGUGGGAAGAUCUUUAGUAAAGGUACUAUAGGUGACACAGUCUCUGACUCAAUUCCUGAGCUUUUCCUUUCACUUUUGAAUUUUCUUGUUUCCAACACAGUGGACAUACGAGUAACCCUUAAGGGUAGCUAUUUGGUAGAAUCUGGAAGAUGAUAAUACAAGAGAAAACCAUGUUGUAUUUAGAAAGCUGAAGAAAUAAGAAAGGAACCAGUGAAAAUGUAUGAGAAAAGACAAGAUAUGUCCUGAGAAGAAAAACUGAAGUCUCUAGGUAUAAAAAUUGCAAACAAGCGGUAAGAGAAUGGACGACAUUUAUGCACAAUUCUCUGAAAGUGGUGCAACAGGUUGGGAAAAGCAUAUGGGAUCUUGAGCUUUAUAAAUCUCUUUUCAAAUGGCAAUGAAAAACCUUCUGAGAUGCCGAGUGGAGAAAUGAUUUGCUCUGCUGCAGUGGGUUAAUGUGAAGUGCUCCAUGCUUUGAAACUCAUUGAAAUUUUGGAUCAUGCAGUGUUUUCCAACCAUGCAACGGAAUUCUAUUCAGGGUUCCCAACUUUCUGGAGGCCAAAACUGGAAACUUCUCCUACAAGAUUACUGAUGAGGCAUUUUUUGCUUGCACUGGAUGCAUCCUGUCACUCAUUCCCCCAGGAUAAUCAAUUUGUUCCUGUGACACAGAUGCCUGGUUUUCCCUGGAAUUGCCAGAAUAUUUUAAAAUUCUGUUGUGGUGAUUUUUGCCAUGACUUUCUGAACAGCGGGCUGGUGUUCAUGUGUAUUUUCCAUCUUUGAAGUUCAAAGUAAAUUUAUUAUCAAAGUACACAUAUGAAACCAUAUAUAACCCUAAGAUUCAUUCUCUUGCGGGCAUACUCAAUAGACCCACAGAAUAAUAGCCAUUACAGAAUCAAUGAAAGACUACACCAACUUGGGUGUUCUACCAGUGUGCAAAAGAUAACAAACUGCAAAUAAUAAAUAAGCAAUAUAUAUCAAGAACAUGAGAUGAAGAGUCCUUAAAAGUGAGUCCACAGGUUGUGGGAACAUUUCUCUGUUGGCGAAAGUAAAGUCGAGUGAAAUCAUCUGCUUUGGUACAAGAGCCUGAUGGUUGAGGGGCAAUAACUGUUCCUGAACCUGGUAGUGUGAGUUCCGAGGCUCCUGUCCCUUCUUCCUAAUGGCAGUAGUGUGAAGACAGCAUGGCCUGGGUGGUGGGGGUCCCUGACAAUGGAUCUGCUUUCCUGUGACAGUGUUUCAUGUAGAAUUGCUCAAUGGUGGGGGCUUUACCCACAAUGGACUGGGCUGCCUCCACUUUUUGUAGGAUUUUCUGCUCAAAGGUAUAGUAUUGGCAUUCCCAUACCAAGUUGUGAUGCAGCCACUCAAUAUACUCUCCACAACACAUCUAUAGAAGUUUGUCAAAGUUUUAGAUGUCAUGUGGAAUCUUUGUGAAGGAAUCAGAAAUGCUGUUCUGCUUUCUUCAUAAUUGCACUUAUAAAGGAGGCCCAAGACAGGUUCUCCAAAAUAAUAACACUGAGGAACUUAAAGUUGCUGACGGUCUCCACUUCCGAUGAGGACUGGCUUAUGGACCUCUGGUUUCCUUCUCUUUAAGUAAAUAAUCACUUCCUUGGGCUUGCUGACAUUGAAUAAAAGGUUGUUGUUAGAGCCACCAGGCCAGAUUUUCAAUCUCCUUUUAGCGUGCUGAUUCAUCACGACCUUCUAUUCUGCCUAUGACAGUGGUGUCGUAGCAAACUUGAAUAUGACAUUGGAGCUAUACUUAGCCACACAGACACAAGUGUCAAAUAAGUAGAGUAGGGGGUGGUGCCUUGUAGUGCACUUGUGCUGAUGGAGACUGUACCAAUCCAAGCUGACUGGGAAUUGCAAGUGAGGAAAUUGAGGAAACUGUACAAUGAGGUCUUCAGGCCAAUGGCUUGGAGCUUAUUGAUUAGUUUUGAGAGGAUGGUGGAAUUGAAUGCUGAGCAGUAGUCAAUAAAGAGCAUCCUAAUAUAUGCAGCUUUGCUGUCCAGAUGUUCCAGGGUUGAAUGAUGAACCAAUGAGAUGGCAUCUACUAUGGACCUAUUGCUCCAUUAGGUAAAUUGGAGCAGAUCUAAGGUGAUUCUCAGGCAGGAGAUGACACGAUUUAUCACCAACCUCUCAAAGCAUUUCAUCACUGUGGAUAUAUGCAAGUGCCACUGGACCGAAAUCACAGUAUCAUAGGAAACUGUGAGAAUUUGUGAUGGUUCCUCCAUGUUUUUAUAGUCAAAGCAAGCACAGAAGCCAUUAAGCUUGUCUGGAAGCAAAGCCCUGCUGUUGCCUAUGUCACUUGAUUUAACUUUAUAAGAGAUGAUAGUAUUCAAGCCUGCCACAAUUGUUAAGUAUCGUUCAUUGCUUCAAGUUUAGCCCAGAACUGCCACUUCACAUGUGAGAUGCGUUCUGGAGAUCAUACCUGGAUCUCUUGUAACUUUCUUGGUCACCAGACUUGAAUGCUUCUUAUCAGACGCUCAGCAGAUGACAGAUCUCAUGGUUCAUACAUGGUUUCUGAUUUGGACAGACAGAAUAACUUGUCUACAACUAUUUUAAUAAGGUCCAUAAUGACCAUGAUGUUUUCAUCUUGAGAAGGCAUUGGCAGUAAGGUGAUGUCACCUGCACUGCCAGCCACGCUUGGCUGGAAUCGAAUUAAGGAUCCAUGUCACCAUCUUCAGGGUAGCACUCAACUGUGCAUUUUGCACAUUUCAAAGUUCAAAGUAAAUUUUAUUAUCAAAGUACAAAUAUGUCACCAUAUACAACCCUGAGAUUCAUUUCUGACUUUACAAAAAGGAACAAAGAAGAACAGUUUGAAAUUCUGCAAAACACCAAAGAACAAACCGGGUGCAACAUCACAGAAAAGAUAUGAAGGCAAGGACGGUGCAGAAAAGAUGCCCUGGAAUAGAUACAAGUACUUUGCAAUCUUGAUUCUGUUGAAUGAUAGUGUUAUUUUUAUUAGGGCAGAAAAGGCUGAGAAAUUAUUGGAAAAUGUACAGCAUUUAAAAAUUUUAAGGGUCUAGAUAAAAUGAAUACACAGAUGCUCCUCCCAUUAAUGGAGGGGACAAGAAGUCAUGUAAGGUGACUGGCAAUAGAUCAAAGGAUGGAUGUGGAAAAUCUUUUCUAUGAUCUGUAAUGUGCCACUUGAAAUGUUGGUAGAAAUAAAUUCAACACAGAAUUUCAAAAAAAAAGGACACUCAAUGGUUUCCACAGUGGUAUUGCUGGUGCAGUUAUUGCCUCACAGCACCAACCAACCUGCUUUGAUCCUGAUCUCCAAGGCUGACCGUAUGAGUCUGCACAUUAUAACCUAGGACCAUCUGGGCUUCCUUCCAUAUUCCAAAGACAUGCCGCCUGGUAGGUUAGUUGGUCAAUCUAAUUUGCAUGUAAGUAGAUGGUAGAAUCUGAGGAGUUGAUGGGAAUAGGCUGGAAAAAUUAAUGAAGUAUUGUUGAAUACUUUUGAGUGCCAAUGCACAAAAUGGCCUCAAUCUUUUGUCAUAAAAUAUAUGGAAAGAAAGCAGAGCGAUAGGGGAAAAGCCAGGGACUGGACAGUUCUUACAAAAACUGAGAUGGACUCUAUAAGCCUCAUGGUCCCCUUCUGUGCUGUAAGAAUACUAAAAUUCUAUGAUUAAAUGAGUAAUGAAUCCAAGCAAGAAAAAGUUUGUGAAAUACCUGGUUAAUUACUCAUAAAAUGUGGUCUGAUCUUCUAAAUCACUGUAUAUUUCACAAUAUAUUACCAUGAGUCUCAUCUCCUAUCCUACCAAUUGUUACCUCGAAAUAAUUGCCAUCAUGACUUUGAAUACAUUGUAUUAUAGAUACUGGAUUAUUAUUUUCUUAUAUAGUGAACUGUCCAUAUAACAUUCUUAUCAAUUACCCCAGUGGUCAUAAUUACACUUUGAACUUGGAACAUAGCUAGUUAUCAUGAACUCAACUACAAGAAACUCUCAUAGAUUGCAACUUAAAACUCUC